rnacentral:rRNA from 1 species
GUAGGGAAUAUUGGGCAAUGGUCGGAAGACUGACCCAGCCAUGCCGCGUGCAGGAAGACGGCCCUCUGGGUUGUAAACUGCUUUUAUCUGGGAAGAAAAAGGCCAUGCGUGGCAAAUUGCCGGUACCAGAUGAAUAAGCACCGGCUAACUCCGUGCCAGCAGCCGCGGUAAUACGGAGGGUGCGAGCGUUGUCCGGAUUUAUUGGGUUUAAAGGGUGCGUAGGCGGCUGAUUAAGUCAGCGGUGAAAGACUUCGGCUUAACCGGAGCAGUGCCGUUGAUACUGGUUGGCUUGAGUGUCGGAGGGGUACAUGGAAUUGAUGGUGUAGCGGUGAAAUGCAUAGAUACCAUCAGGAACACCGAUAGCGAAGGCAUUGUACUGGCCGACAACUGACGCUGAUGCACGAAAGUGUGGGGAUCGAACAGGAUUAGAAACCCUAGUAGUCC